ACGAACGCUGGCGGCGUGGAUAAGACAUGCAAGUCGAACGAGAGAAUUGCUAGCUUGCUAAUAAUUCUCUAGUGGCGCACGGGUGAGUAACACGUGAGUAACCUGCCCCCGAGAGCGGGAUAGCCCUGGGAAACUGGGAUUAAUACCGCAUAGUAUCGAAAGAUUAAAGCAGCAAUGCGCUUGGGGAUGGGCUCGCGGCCUAUUAGUUAGUUGGUGAGGUAACGGCUCACCAAGGCGAUGACGGGUAGCCGGUCUGAGAGGAUGUCCGGCCACACUGGAGCUGAGACACGGUCCAGACACCUACGGGUGGCAGCAGUCGAGAAUCAUUCACAAUGGGGGAAACCCUGAUGGUGUGACGCCGCGUGGGGGAAUGAAGGUCUUCGGAUUGUAAACCCCUGUCAUGUGGGAGCAAAUUAAAAAGAUAGUACCACAAGAGGAAGAGACGGCUAACUCUGUGCCAGCAGCCGCGGUAAUACAGAGGUCUCAAGCGUUGUUCGGAAUCACUGGGCGUAAAGCGUGCGUAGGCUGUUUCGUAAGUCGUGUGUGAAAGGCGCGGGCUCAACCCGCGGACGGCACAUGAUACUGCGAGACUAGAGUAAUGGAGGGGGAACCGGAAUUCUCGGUGUAGCAGUGAAAUGCGUAGAUAUCGAGAGGAACACUCGUGGCGAAGGCGGGUUCCUGGACAUUAACUGACGCUGAGGCACGAAGGCCAGGGGAGCGAAAGGGAUUAGAUACCCCUGUAGUCCUGGCAGUAAACGGUGCACGCUUGGUGUGCGGGGAAUCGACCCCCUGCGUGCCGGAGCUAACGCGUUAAGCGUGCCGCCUGGGGAGUACGGUCGCAAGAUUAAAACUCAAAGAAAUUGACGGGGACCCGCACAAGCGGUGGAGUAUGUGGCUUAAUUCGAUGCAACGCGAAGAACCUUACCUGGGCUUGACAUGUAAUGAACAACAUGUGAAAGCAUGCGACUCUUCGGAGGCGUUACACAGGUGCUGCAUGGCCGUCGUCAGCUCGUGUCGUGAGAUGUUUGGUUAAGUCCAGCAACGAGCGCAACCCCUGUUGCCAGUUACCAGCACGUGAAGGUGGGGACUCUGGCGAGACUGCCCAGAUCAACUGGGAGGAAGGUGGGGACGACGUCAGGUCAGUAUGGCCCUUAUGCCCAGGGCUGCACACGUACUACAAUGCCCAGUACAGAGGGGGCCGAAGCCGCGAGGCGGAGGAAAUCCUGAAAACUGGGCCCAGUUCGGACUGUAGGCUGCAACCCGCCUACACGAAGCCGGAAUCGCUAGUAAUGGCGCAUCAGCUACGGCGCCGUGAAUACGUUCCCGGGUCUUGUACACACCGCCCGUCACAUCAUGGAAGCCGGUCGCACCCGAAGUAUCUGAAGCCAACCGCAAGGAGGCAGGGUCCUAAGGUGAGACUGGUAACUGGGAUG
rnacentral:rRNA from 1 species